AGCAGCCAAAGCAAGACAUAGGAUAUUCACGGACAGAAUGUCCUGGAAUUAUGUUUAUUAGCUGUCUGGGGAGGAGGAAGGCGAGCCAGUGAGAAGGAUAGGAGUGUGCUGGGAAGGAUCAGCAGGUGAACAAUGAUGUUUGACUCGGCUUGCCUGUCAAUGUUGGAAAGUUGUGCAAUAUAGAGAUUCAACAGUUCCAUAUAUCACCCGGUGCCUAUCAAGGUUUUGAGGGUGUCUUCCCGUUCUGAGAGUGCAAAGCUGAAGGAAGUCCAGAAAGACAAAAUGAAUUCAUCUUUGGAGGAGAGAGAAAGGAUUAAGUAAGGAAAGAAAAUGGGCAGUCCUGAACCAGACAGGACUUUGAAGCAAGGGAGUGGCAAGACCAGAUCUGAACUCUCCAAAGUCCUCUCUGAUGAGGAAAUGGUAAAGCAAAGGGUUUGAACAAACUAUUCACAGGGCAGGGGCUGUAUGACUGGGAAGGCUGCAAACAAUUCAGAAAAUGUGAAACCCCUACAAGAGAACAAGAGACUCCGGUGAAGUGGACUUUCCACCCUUCAUGUUUAAACAUGGAACGACAAUGAGGCACGCAGAAGCUUACAGUCUACCCACCGUCAUUUAAUGAACUGGCAGAUCUCACUCUUGAAUUGAGGCAGCUUGGACCAUGAACUGAGCUUUUAAAUACAGCCCUGUUCUGCCACCUGGUGGCUAACAGUGGAAAGUGCAACAAUAGGGGUGUGUCUGGGCCAGUGUGGGGAGGUCAGUGAAGCCUGCAGAAGAUGGGAACUUGAACCAGAAGUUGGGAAGACAUCUGAAGACAGAGGCGUUUGAGACAGAGGGAGAGACACGUGCCAAGGUAGCGAGGCGACAGUUUUGGCGCCCUGCGCGGGGAACAUGACGAUCCUGGUGAGCCAAGAGGCUGCCUUCUUAGAAGCAAAGAGUGGACCAGGAGGCUCAUGGGAGUUGCAGCUUUAUGGGCUGGCCCUCCAACACUUGACUUUGGGAUUGAUUCUCAACAAAACACGAACUCUUCUUCACUAUCAGUGCUGUGAAGUGCAGUUCCAAGAAUAGGGCUGCAAACCCACGAUGGGUGGGUGAGUAGAGAAGGGAGGGCAGCUUCUCCAGGAUGCCUGUGGGCCCCUCCCUCUACCAGCAGCUCUUGACCACAGCGGCCAACCAGGCACACAUCACACCAUGCUGCUUGAGAGAAAGUAACCAGCUCCCCCUAACUGCCAGUGACUGGGCUGACUGUUGAGAACAAUCUUCUUAAGAAUCAUUCCUUGUUUGCAUGUGCAGGACGCUUUGGAGGGCAGAAAGAAACCUGCCUUAUAGUGAUUCAGAGACUCUUCAUACACUGCAAGUUUGCAUGGACUCUAAUACAUGACUUCCUUUUCUUGAGGCAAAGCCAAUAUUUAAGAAAAGAAUUUGCUGGGGUCCUGGGUGGUGCAUGGCUUAAAUGUCUGAUCCUUGGUUUUGG